rnacentral:rRNA from 1 species
UACGGAGGGGGCUAGCGUUGUUCGGAAUUACUGGGCGUAAAGCGCACGUAGGCGGCUUUGCAAGUUAGAGGUGAAAGCCCGGGGCUCAACCCCGGAAUUGCCUUUAAAACUGCAUCGCUAGAAUUGUGGAGAGGUAAGUGGAAUUCCGAGUGUAGAGGUGAAAUUCGUGGAUAUUCGGAAGAACACCAGUGGCGAAGGCGACUUACUGGACACAUAUUGACGCUGAGGUGCGAAAGCGUGGGGAGCAAACAGG